GACCCUAUAGAGUUUAAUAUUUAAUUAAUAAAUUAUUUUUUAGAAUUUAAUAUUAAUUUAUUUAUUAAAUAUUUGAUUGGGGUGAUUGAAAAAUUUAAGUAACUUUUUUUAUAUAUAAACAUUAAUAUAUGAUUAUUUGAUCCAUUAUUUAUGACUAUAAGAUUAAAUUACCUUAGGGAUAACAGCGUAAUUUUUCUUAAGAGUUCAAAUCGAAAGAAAAGAUUGCGACCUCGAUGUUGGAUUAAAAUUUAUUUUUGGUGUAGAAGCUAAAUUUAUUGGGUCUGUUCGACCUUUAAAAUUUUACAUGAUCUG
rnacentral:rRNA from 1 species